CUACGGGGCGCACCAGUGAGGAAUAUUGGUCAAUGGGCGUAAGCCUGAACCAGCCAUCCCGCGUGCAGGAAGACGGCGCUAUGCGUUGUAAACUGCUUUUCCAGGGAAAGAAAACCCCCGACGUGUCGGGGCUUGCCGGUACCCUGGGAAUAAGCAUCGGCUAGACUCCGUGCCAGCAGCCGCGGUAAUACGGAGGAUGCAAGCGCUAUCCGGAUUUAUUGGGUUUAAAGGGUGCGUAGGCGGAUUAAUAAGUCAGUGGUGAAAACCUUCAGCUUAACUGGAGACUUGCCAUUGAUACUGUUAGUCUUGAGUACGGUCAAGGUAGGCGGAAUGUGUAAUGUAGCGGUGAAAUGCUUAGAUAUUACACAGAACACCGAUUGCGAAGGCAGCUUACUGGGCCAUUACUGACGCUGAGGCACGAAAGCGUGGGGAGCGAACAGGAUUAGAUACCCGGGUAGUC
rnacentral:rRNA from 1 species